rnacentral:rRNA from 1 species
CCUACGGGUGGCUGCAAUUAGGAAUCUUGCGCAAUGGGGGCAACCCUGACGCAGCGACGUCGCGUGGGGGAGGAAGGCCUUCGGGUCGUAAACCCCUUUUGCCGGGGAAGAAGCAAGUGACGGUACCCGGCGAAUAAGCCCCGGCUAACUACGUGCCAGCAGCCGCGGUAAUACGUAGGGGGCGAGCGUUGUCCGAAGUUACUGGGCGUAAAGCGCGCGUAGGCGGCCACUUAAGUCUGGGGUGAAAGGUCCAGCGCUCAACGCGGACAGUGCCU